rnacentral:rRNA from 1 species
AACGAACGCUGGCGGCGUGGAUUAGGCAUGCAAGUCGAACGAGAAUCUGAAGGUCCAAGUUUUCGGACAAGGACUUUUGGAGGACAGUGGCGGAAGGGUGAGUACAACAUGGAUAAUCUACCUUCAAGUUGGGUAUAGCUCCUCGAAAGGGGAGAUAAUCCCGAAUGUGGUGAUCCGGCGCAUGUCGGAGAAUCCAAAGGCGGGGACCGCAAGGCCUGUCGCUUGAAGAUGAGUCCGUGCACUAUCAGCUAGUUGGCGGGGUAACGGCCCACCAAGGCUAUGACGGUUAGCUGGUCUGAGAGGAUGGUCAGCCACACUGGGACUGAGAUACUGCCCAGACUCCUACGGGAGGCUGCAGUCGAGAAUCAUUCGCAAUGGGCGAAAGCCUGACGGUGCGACGUCGCGUGGGGAUGAAGGUUUCGGAUUGUAAACCCUUCUAUGAGGAAAGAA